rnacentral:rRNA from 1 species
UUAGUGGCGGACGGGUGAGUAACGCGUGGAUAACCUGCCGUAUACCGGGGGAUAACACUUAGAAAUAGGUGCUAAUACCGCAUAAGCGCACGGCUCCGCAUGGGGCAGUGUGAAAAACUCCGGUGGUAUACGAUGGAUCCGCGUCUGAUUAGCUAGUUGGCGGGGUAACGGCCCACCAAGGCAGCGAUCAGUAGCCGGCCUGAGAGGGUGGACGGCCACAUUGGGACUGAGACACGGCCCAAACUCCUACGGGAGGCAGCAGUGGGGAAUAUUGCACAAUGGGGGAAACCCUGAUGCAGCGACGCCGCGUGAGUGAAGAAGUAUCUCGGUACGUAAAGCUCUAUCAGCAGGGAAGAAAAUGACGGUACCUGACCAAGAAGCCCCGGCUAACUACGUGCCAGCAGCCGCGGUAAUACGUAGGGGGCAAGCGUUAUCCGGAUUUACUGGGUGUAAAGGGAGCGUAGACGGCAGCACAAGUCUGGAGUGAAAUCCCGGGGCUUAACCCCGGAACUGCUUUGGAAACUGUGCGGCUGGAGUGCAGGAGGGGUAAGCGGAAUUCCUAGUGUAGCGGUGAAAUGCGUAGAUAUUAGGAGGAACACCGGUGGCGAAGGCGGCUUACUGGACUGUAACUGACGUUGAGGCUCGAAAGCGUGGGGAGCAAACAGGAUUAGAUACCCUGGUAGUCCACGCCGUAAACGAUGAUUACUAGGUGUCGGGGGACCAAGGUCCUCCGGUGCCGGCGCAAACGCAUUAAGUAAUCCACCUGGGGAGUA